rnacentral:rRNA from 1 species
GAUGAACGCUGGCGGCGUGCCUAAUACAUGCAAGUCGAGCGAACGGACGAGAAGCUUGCUUCUCUGAUGUUAGCGGCGGACGGGUGAGUAACACGUGGAUAACCUACCUAUAAGACUGGGAUAACUUCGGGAAACCGUAGCUAAUACCGGAUAAUAUUUUGAACUUCAUGGUUCAAAAGUGAAAGACGGUCUUGCUGUCACUUAUAGAUGGACCCGCGCUGCAUUAGCUAGUUGGUAAGGUAACGGCUUACAAAGGCAACGAUGCAUAGCCGACCUGAGAGGGUGAGCGGCCACACUGGAACUGAGACACGGUCCAGACUCCUACGGGAGGCAGCAGUAGGGAAUCUUCCGCAAGGGGCGAAAGCCUGACGGAGCAACGCCGCGUGAGUGAUGAAGGUCUGCGGAUCGUAAAACUCUGUUAUGAGGGAAGAACAGAUGUGUAAGUAACUGUGCACAUCUGGACGGUACCUAAUCAGAAAGCCACGGCUAACUACGU